AUGGGCGAACGACGGGAAUUGAACCUGCGCAUGGUGGAUUCACAAUCCACUGCCUUGAUCCACUUGGCUACAUCUGCCCCUUAUCCAGCUAAUGGAUUUUUGCUUUUUUCCAUUGAUCAUUAUUCUAUUUAUUCUGACCUCCGUACUUCGAUCGAGAUAUUGGACAUAGAAUGCCACUCUUUAAAAAGGAAAAAAGGAGUAAUCAGCUGUGACACGAAAAAAACGAAUCCUUUUGUAGCUCAUCAUUUAUUGGCAAAGAUAGGAAAGGUCAAUAUGAAGGAGGAGAAAGAAACAAUAGUAACGUGGUCCCGGGCAUCUAGCAUUCUACCCACAAUGAUUGGCCAUACAAUCGCGAUUCAUAAUGGAAAGGAACAUAUACCUAUUUACAUAACAAAUCCUAUGGUAGGUCGCAAAUUGGGGGAAUUCGUGCCUACUCGGCAUUUCACGAGUUAUGAAAAUGCAAGAAAGGAUACUAAAUCUCGUCGUUAA
rnacentral:rRNA from 1 species